rnacentral:ncRNA from 1 species
AGGGAUAGGGAAAUGCAAUAUUUUCCCCUGAACGAGGAAUUCCCAGUAAGCGCGAGUCAUUAGCUCGCGUUGAUUACGUCCCUGCCCUUUGUACACACCGCCCGUCGCUACUACCGAUUGAAUGGUUUAGUGAGGUCCUCCGAUUGGACCCGGUCCGGGCGGCGACGUCCGAGCCGGCGUCCGAGAAGACGAUCUAACUUGAUCAUUUAGAGGAAGUAAAAGUCGUAACAAGGUUUCCGUAGGUGAACCUGCGGAAGGAUCAUUA